rnacentral:rRNA from 1 species
CCUACGGGCGGCAGCAGUGAGGAAUAUUGGUCAAUGGCCGGAAGGCUGAACCAGCCAUGCCGCGUGAAGGUCAGUGCCCUAUGGGCGUUAAACUUCUUUUGUGCGGGAGCAAUAAUGGUCACGUGUGGCCAGACGAGAGUACCGUACGAAUAAGCAUCGGCUAACUCCGUGCCAGCAGCCGCGGUAAUACGGGGGAUGCAAGCGUUAUCCGGAUUUAUUGGGUUUAAAGGGUGCGUAGGCUGUGAGGUAAGUCAGCGGUGAAAUGCCCCCGCUCAACGGGGUGAAGUGCCAUUGAUACUGCCUGGCUGGAAUGCGGAUGCGGUAGGCGGAAUGUGUGGUGUAGCGGUGAAAUGCAUAGAUAUCACACAGAACACCGAUUGCGAAGGCAUCUCACGAAUCCGCGAUUGACGCUGAUGCACGAAAGCGUGGGUAUCAAACAGGAUUAGAUACCCUUGUAGUC